UUAAUAGCGCUAACAUACAAAGCGAUGAGCUGUUUAGGGAUUAUAUUUGUUACUAAAUUUACCAAAAUAAUUAGAACUACAACUGCUGUUUUCAGAGGUUUCGUUCUAUUUUGUCCAUAUUAUUAAAUUAAUGUACCAGUUAUGUAUCGACUAUAUUUAAAUAAUGUUUACGAAGACGUAAGUUAAUUAUUAACAGGUGUUAGCGUGCGUGUACAUGAAAUGAACGUUUAUAAUGUUUAUCAAUAUAAGGAGUUUUUAUUUUUAGUUUACCAGCCCUUAUAUUUGAAUAGCCGAAUUCAUAUUAGGGACGCGAAACUCGUCUGUGAAAACCCGCCUGAAUAUGAAUUUAGGGACGGAUAAAUUCGAAUUUAAGACGAGUUUCCCGUCUAAUAUGAGUUUCCCGUCUCUAAUAUGAAUUCGGCUAAUGUGUGUUAAAACUGCAAGGUCAUUAAAUCUCAUUAAAAUCCCACAGACCACAACGAUUAUACGUAUUGAUUGUUUCUUGACGAUAGUAGACGCGUACGCAUGCAUGUUGCGUAAGAGGUUAUUUCGCUGGCCUCAGAAUGACAAAACGUAACAAAGCUUUACACUAACCCUAUUUUAUAACUUAAAUCCCUACCAUAAGGCCACAUAAAAAAAAAUAGUUGGUUAGCGUCUUCGCCCGCCCACAAAAAAGGCCCCGCUCAGGAUUUUUUUUUAUUUUUUAUUUAAAAAAACCCCGACUUUUAUUGAUCAACGGGCUCUAAUAUAUGUAGUAUUUCUGUUGACAGUAGUCAAUUGUGUUAAUAAUUUGCGAAAUUGCGUGCGAAAAUGACGGUAUGAAUCAUAUUUUGAAAUAUAUAAAAAAAUAUCUGUACUGCGCAAGAAAAUCCAGUUUCGGACCUAACAGUGAGUAAAACCAAGGCAUUAAAAAUUAGUAAAAAUUAAAAAAAAAGCGCCCGCCCGCCCACUUUUUGGCAAAAGCUAAGGACGCUAACCAACUAUUUUUUUUUAUAUGGCCUAACCCUUGCUCGUUAUUAAAUAACAUACCGUAGUAAAUAAUUUAAUCACCAUUUCUAAGUCUUUUACUUUUUCGGGACAAAAAACUGCUUGAAAAAGACCAGGGCUUUAAAAAUUAUUUGAGGUAGAUAGUUAUAAGACAGGGGUGGUGCCAGGGCCGCCCUUGCAGGGGGGGGGGCAAAGGGAGCAAUUUUCUCCGCGACCGCAGCUCAAGGAGGGCCGGCAAAUACAAAUUUGCAAGGGGGUAAAAAGUUUGUCGACGGAGGGGUGGGAGGGGAAUUAUUGUGGUUCACCGGGGCCCCAAAG